UUCCGGUUGAUCCUGCCGGACCCCACUGCUAUCGGGAUGGGACUAAGACAUGCUAGUCGAGCGCUUCCAAGCUAUGUUGGGAGCGCGGCGCACAGCUCAGUAACACGUGGCUAACCUGCCCUUGGGAUAGGGACACCCCCGGGAAACUGGGGCUAAUCCCCAAUAGGCGAAGGCUCCUGGAAUGGAUCUUCACCUGAAAGGAUGCUUAGAUCAUGCUUUUAGGCAUCGCCCAAGGAUGGGGCCGCGACCGAUCAGGUUGUUGGUGAGGUAAUGGCCCACCAAGCCUUUUACCGGUGCGGGCCGUGAGAGCGGGAGCCCGGAGAUGGGCACUGAGACAAGGGCCCAGGUCCUACGGGGCGCAGCAGUCGCGAAACCUUUGCAAUACACGCAAGUGUGACAGGGUCAUCCCGAGUGCCGACCGCUGAGGUUGGCUUUUACUCAGUCUAGAAAGCUGGGGGAAUAAGGAGAGGGCAAGUCUGGUGUCAGCCGCCGCGGUAAUACCAGCUCUCCGAGUGGUGUGGACGUUUAUUGGGCCUAAAGCAUCCGUAGCUGGCUGAACAAGUCCCCUGUUAAACCCACCGAUUUAAUCGUUGGCGUGCGGGGGAUACUGCUUGGCUAGGGGACGAGAGAGGCAGACGGUAUUCCCGGGGUAGGGGUGAAAUCCUAUAAUCCCGAGAAGACCACCAGUGGCGAAGGCUGUCUGCUAGAACGCGCCCGACGGUGAGGGAUGAAAGCUGGGGGAGCGAACCGGAUUAGAUACCCGGGUAGUCCCAGCUGUAAACGAUGCAGACUAGGUGUUUGGACGGCCACGUGCCGUUCUAGUGCCGCAGGGAAGCUGUUAAGUCUGCCGCCUGGGGAGUACGAUCGCAAGGUUGAAACUUAAAGGAAUUGGCGGGGGAGCACCACAAGGGGUGAAGCUUGCGGUUUAAUUGGAGUCAACGCCGGG
rnacentral:rRNA from 1 species